rnacentral:miRNA from 1 species
AGGUGUCGGUGGAGGCAGGUUUGCCAGGUUGCAGGUUGGCAACCUGCCUCCACCGACACCUCA